rnacentral:rRNA from 1 species
UACGUAGGGUGCAAGCGUUGUCCGGAAUUAUUGGGCGUAAAGAGCUCGUAGGCGGCUUGUUGCGUCGGCUGUGAAAACCUGGGGCUCAACCCCGGGCCUGCAGCCGAUACGGGCAAGCUAGAGUUCGGUAGGGGAGACGUGGAAUUCCUGGUGUAGCGGUGAAAUGCGCAGAUAUCAGGAGGAACACCGAUGGCGAAGGCAGGUCUCUGGGCCGAUACUGACGCUGAGGAGCGAAAGCGUGGGGAGCGAACAGG